UUCAAUGGGGCGGGCCGUGCGGGAGGGCGCAAGUCCUGCCGGUUCCUAUGUCCGGUCUGCUAACCCGCACGGUUCCGCCUCACCCCG
rnacentral:antisense_RNA from 1 species